GGUGCGUAACACCUGGGUAAUUUGCCGCGAAGUUGGGGAUAACUCGCUGAAAGGCGAGCUAAUACCGAAUGUGACUACUGGGGGGCAUCCCUCGGUUUUCAAAGUUGGGGAUCGUAAGACCUGACGCUUCGCGAUAAGCCCGCGGCCUAUCAGCUAGUUGGUGAGGUAACGGCCCACCAAGGCUAAGACGGGUAGCUGGUCUGAGAGGACGACCAGUCACACUGGAACUGAGACACGGUCCAGACACCUACGGGUGGCAGCAGUCGAGAAUUUUUCUCAAUGGGCGAAAGCCUGAAGGAGCGACGCCGCGUGGGGGAUGAAGGGCUUCGGUCCGUAAACCCCUGUCAUUUGCGAACAAACCUUUCGAUCUAACACAUCGAGAGCUGAUUGUAGCGAAAGAGGAAGGGACGGCUAACUCUGUGCCAGCAGCCGCGGUAAUACAGAGGUCCCAAGCGUUGUUCGGAUUCACUGGGCGUAAAGGGUGCGUAGGUGGUCGGGUAAGUCUGAUGUGAAAUCUCCGAGCUUAACUCGGAAACUGCAUUGGAAACUACUUGACUAGAGGGUUGGAGGGGGGACUGGAAUACUUGGUGUAGCAGUGAAAUGCGUAGAUAUCAAGUGGAACACCAGUGGCGAAGGCGAGUCCCUGGACAACUCCUGACACUGAGGCACGAAAGCUAGGGGAGCAAACAGGAUUAGAUACCCUGGUAGUCCUAGCUGUAAACGGUGCAUAUUUGCUGUAAAAGGAAUCGACCCCUUUUGUGGCGUAGCUAACGCGAUAAAUAUGCCGCCUGGGAGGUACGGGUCGCAGAUUAAA
rnacentral:rRNA from 1 species